AUUUUGUACCAUGGGGAAAACCCUGCUCCACCAAUGCCGGGUGCAGUAUGAAAGCCUCCGCGUUGUAGACUGCUUCUGUACGUAACGAAAACUUUCGGCCUACUACCAUGGGAUCCUGACUGUACCCGAAUACUAAGCACCGGAUAACUAAGUGCCAGCAGCCGCGUUAAUAAGUAGGGUGCAAGCGUUAAUCGGAAUUACUGGGCGUAAAGCGUGCGCAGGCGGUUUUGUAAGACAGUGGUGAAAUCCACGGGCUCAACCUGGGAACUGCCAUUGUGACUGCAAGGCUGGAGUGCGGCAGAGGGGGAUGGAAUUCCGCGUGUAGCAGUGAAAUGCGUAGAUAUGCGGAGGAACACCGAUGGAGAAGGCAAUCCCCUGGGCCUGCACUGACGCUCAUGCACGAAAGCGUGGGGAGCAAACAGG
rnacentral:rRNA from 1 species